UCUGAAUCUGCGNACGGCUCCGCAAACCAGUUGUAAACUAUAGCAAGCAAUCCUCGGCUGGGCUUCGGUCCGGUCGGGGUAACAUGGAUAACCCUGGUAAUUCUGAGGCUAAUACAAGAACGUAAUCCCUGGCUGACCGGCAACGGAAGGCUGGGGGACGUGCAAUGAUUUUCGUAAGAUUAACCGGGAAAGGGUGCACGUUCGGACCGCGCUAAAAACGAAUCUUGGUGAGCCCGCAAGGGUGAGCCUUGGCUCGAGCGGCUCUUGCGGUGUGCUUCUGACCUAUCAACUAGAUGGCAGC
rnacentral:rRNA from 1 species